rnacentral:lncRNA from 10 species
CUGACAUCCCCUCAGCCUGGAGGGCGCCCUCCUGGUCCCCUCGUAUCUGACAUCCCCUCAGCCUGGAGGGCGCCCUCCUGGUCCCCUCCUGUCUGACAUCCCCUCAGCCUGGAGGGCGCCCUCCUGGUCCCCUCCUGUCUGACAUCCCCUCAGCCUGGAGGGCGCCCUCCUGGUCCCCUCCUGUCUGACAUCCCCUCAGCCUGGAGGGCGCCCUCCUGGUCCCCUCCUGUCUGACAUCCCCUCAGCCUGGAGGGUGCCCUCCUGGUCCCCUCCUGUUUGACAUCCCCAGAGUUACUCCUUGGGUCCUUUGAGAGAUGAGACACCAGCUGCACCCAGCAAGCCCUGUCCCCACCCCCAGCUAAUCAAGGCAUUACCCCGGAGGCCGGGCGCAGUGGCUCACGCCUGUAAUCCCAACACUUUGGGAGGCCAAGCCUCAAUUUGUUUAUAGUCUAUCACAAAGUAGGCCAAAGUUCAGUAUUAAAUAGAUAUCCUAAUAAAAGUUUUUACAAGUUUUCCUAAGGAAAUACAUUCAUAAGACUGUUUACCUUCUGUUUGACAGCAGUGACAGGAACGUGGGGAUCCCCACUCAUGACGAGUCCCUAGCACUCAGCCCCUGGCACCCACAGCCCCGGCGCGCUCCGUCACCUGGUAGGGAGCAGCCUGGGCUGCCGUGAGUGAGGUGUUCUCACUCUGGUUCCGUGUUUGUGUUUAGCCUGUGCAAUUCUCGUCAACACAGAACACCUGCCUGCCCACCCCCGGUGCUGAAGACCGACCAGUCAAGGAGGUGUUGGUGGGAGUGUUGUGUUCACCAUGUGGAGAUCAGGCGGCGAUUACCGCAUCUUCUUUGCUGACUUUGGUAACCGGGUGUCCAGGGAGGAGCGAUCGGGAGUGGCCAAGCAGUUGCCUGGACUCAGCUUCUGACUCUGCAGCUGGGAGUCAGAUGCAGGCCCAAGGGUCCAGGGGAGUUGUUCAGCGCCUGGAAUCGCCAUGCAUUGCGCGGUGGACCGCACGACGCUCCUGCUCUGUUCUCCCAGGCACAGACAGGCACUUGGAAGGCAGCUUUGCUCCUCUGGCCACCCGGAAACCUCCCAGCAGUUCAGAUGGGACAAACUGGGGGCCUGUCAGAACAGCCACUUGUGCCGGGAAGGCCAGGCCCCGGCCUGCUCCGAUGAACGUCAGGACGGUGGCUGCAGCAGGGAACCAGGGCUGGCCUUGGAUCUGUCCAGUAGGGUCACUGACUGGGCAGGGCUUGCUGCAUAGAGGAUGGCUGCAUUUUGUGCUCAGAGUUGGUUGAAAUGGCUACGAAGUGUGGAGAAUAACCACUGAAUCCCAAAAAGUCACUGCGCUUGAUCUGAUCCAAGUAACAGUGACUGCAGUUAGGGUCGAGAGCUUCUCCGAAGCAGCGGUCAUGCAGGCUUUUGUGUGGCUGACGCUUCCCUUUUUCACAACAGUAAAAAGCUAUCAAUGGGAAAUUGUGGACUUUUCCCACCAGGGACUCAAUGGGGACUCAAUGUGCAAUAUUCAGUCAACAUAAAACUCUUUAAGAACUCC